rnacentral:rRNA from 1 species
AUUGAACGCUGGCGGAAUGCUUUACACAUGCAAGUCGAACGGCAGCAUAGGUGCUUGCACCUGAUGGCGAGUGGCGAACGGGUGAGUAAUACAUCGGAACGUGCCCAGUCGUGGGGGAUAACGUAGCGAAAGUUACGCUAAUACCGCAUACGAUCUAGGGAUGAAAGCGGGGGACCGUAAGGCCUCGCGCGAUUGGAGCGGCCGAUGUCAGAUUAGGUAGUUGGUGAGGUAAAGGCUCACCAAGCCGACGAUCUGUAGCUGGUCUGAGAGGGCGACCAGCCACACUGGGGCUGAGACACGGCCCAGACUCCUACGGGAGGCAGCAGUGGGGAAUUUUGGACAAUGGACGCAAGUCUGAUCCAGCCAUUCCGCGUGCAGGACGAAGGCCUUCGGGUUGUAAACUGCUUUUGUACGGAACGAAAAAGCUCUUACUAAUACUAGGAGUCCAUGACGGUACCGUAAGAAUAAGCACCGGCUAACUACGUGCCAGCAGCCGCCGUAA